GAAGUUUGGCAGCACAUAUACUAAAAUUGGAACGAUACAGAGAAGAUAGCAUGGCCCCUGUGCAAGGAUGACAUGCAAAUUCGUGAAGCAUUCCAUAUUUUU
rnacentral:snRNA from 1 species